rnacentral:sRNA from 1 species
CCCUAGCCCCGAUAGCAGUGGAAAUCCUUUUGUGCCGGUGUUCGGCACAAAAGAUUGCAACGAAUAGCGGGAAAAAGC